CACUUUUGGAACCAAGUGGGAUUAACUAUAGUGCGUAUAAAGAGGUGUUAGAAGCUGAACCCCCUGAGUGGCUACCAGAUAGUUCUACUACAGUUUGCAUGCAGUGCACUGCACCCUUCACAGCGCUUACCCGUGGAAGGCAUCAUUGUCGAUUUUGUGGUGGGAUUUUUUGCAGAGCGUGCUCCAAAGGACGGUGCUUGCUACCCGUUAAGUUUAGGGAGAGGAAUCCACAGAGGGUUUGUGAU
rnacentral:misc_RNA from 1 species